UGUGUCAGCAGCCGCGGUAAUACAGAGGGUGCAAGCGUUAGUCGGAGUUACUGGGCGUAAAGGGCGUGUAGGCGGAUAUCUUAGUCGAUUGUGAAAUCCCUGGGCUUAACCUAGGAAUUGCAGUCGAUACUGGAUGUCUUGAGUAUGGUAGAGGAAGGUGGAAUUCUCGGUGUAGUGGUUAAAUACGUAGAUAUCGAGAAGAACAUCGGUGGCGAAGGCGGCCUUCUGGACCAAUACUGACGCUGAGGCGCGAAAGCGUGGGGAGCAAACAGGAUUAGAUACCCUGGUAGUCCACGCUGUAAACGAUGAGAACUAGAUGUUGAACCGCAUUAAUGCGGCUCAGUAUCGCAGCUAACGCGUUAAGUUCUCCGCCUGGGGAGUACGGUCGCAAGAUUAAAACUUAAAGGAAUUGGCGGGGG
rnacentral:rRNA from 1 species